rnacentral:rRNA from 1 species
ACUACGGGUGGCAGCAGUGAGGAAUAUUGGUCAAUGGGCGCGAGCCUGAACCAGCCAAGUAGCGUGCAGGAUGACUGCCCUACGGGUUGUAAACUUCUUUUAUAAAGGAAUAAAGUGAGGCACGUGUACCUUUUUGUAUGUACUUUAUGAAUAAGGAUCGGCUAACUCCGUGCCAGCAGCCGCGGUAAUACGGAGGAUCCGAGCGUUAUCCGGAUUUAUUGGGGUUAAAGGGAGCGUAGAUGGGUUGUUAAGUCAGUGGUGAAAGUUUGGGGCGUAACCGUAAAAUUGCAAUUGAUACUUGUAGCCUAGAGAACAGUUGAGGUAGGCGGAAUGCGUGGUGUAGCGGUGAAAUGCUUAGAUAUCACGCAGAACUCCGAUUGCGAAGGCAGCUUACUAAACUGCCACUGACAUUGAUGCUCGAAAGUGUGGGUAUCAAACAGGAUUAGAUACCCCUGUAGUC